rnacentral:lncRNA from 1 species
GUAUAGGGUUAGGAAUUGAAAAUUCAUAGGAAUCUGAUGUGACAGGAAUUUACGAUUCUCACGAAAAAAAUUCCCAUUCCACUACAGCAGAAUUAGAUUAUAGCGACACAUGUUUGAGACACUUUUGUGUAAGUGUCCUAUUUAUGCUAAAACUUUAAAAAAAAUCUACAAAUGCCUAAAUAAAAAGCCUAAUACAACCAAAAAUAAAAGGUUACUCUACUCAACCCACCCCAUCCAGCCCAUUCGGCCCGAUUACAAACAGAAAAGAAAAAAAAAAAAAAAAUCGAUUACCAUCUCCCUUUCUUCCUUACUCAAUCCACUGAAAUUCUAGACGAAGAGCCCUUCCCUUUCCUCAUCCUCCGCCACUGCAGCCAACGAGGUAGAGUUCCGGCGGUUGCUAAAUGCUUAAAUAAGUGUUAGUAAAUUAGCAACACUCUUUUGGCUUAUACCGACACUCUCUAACUGUCACUAUAUACCUAGCGACCCCAUAUAUAGCAACACUUUUUAAAAGUGUAGGUAGUUUAGCUAGCAAUAAUUUUUUUUUACCUGUACCGACAUUUAAAAGUGUCGCUAUAGACCAUUUUUGUUGUAGUAUUCACAAAAUAUAGAAAUUCAAAACCCACCUCACAUUCUUAGUUUUUUUUUUUUU